AAUCCCAAUUUUCCUGAUCUCGAUUUUCCCAAUCUCCUCAUGCCAGGGCUCCUGGAAUGUCCCAGGACUGUCCCCGCAGGAGACCCUGGGAAUGUCCCCAAGGAAUGUCCCGGGAAUGUCCCCCAGGAAUGCCCGGAAAUGUCCCAGGAUGUCCCAGGCCUUUCCCCACAGUAGGCUCUGGGAUUGUCCCUAGGAGUGUCCCAAAGAAUGUCCCCAGCAGUGUCCCCAGCAUUGUCGCUGUCCCUGUCCCACAGGAGGCACACAGCCAGACCUGCAGCAUGGAGCAGUGGCAGGAGGAGCUGCGGGAGGCGUGGGCCCACUCGGAGCUGGAGCAGGAGCAGGAGUGGGAGUGGCAGGAGCUGCUGGAGUGUGUGGCCGGGAUGAGGCUGGAGCAGGAGAAUAAGAUGCAGCACCUGAACUCGUUCCUGCUGGGUGCCCACUGCAGCUCCAUCCUGAACCAUCAGCUGGCGGAGAAGUGGCAGAUCCAGGGGGAGCUGCGGGUGGAGGAGCAGCGCCUGGAGCGGCUCAUGGACAGCGAGCGGGAGAAGGAGCUGCAGCUGCAGGACGAGCUGGAGCGCUGCACAGCAAGCUGGAGGUGCUCCAGCAGAUGGAGCAGCAGCUGGAGCAGUGGGCACUGAGGGCCAAGCAGAAAUUCCAGGAGGGCCGGAGGUUCCUGGAGCACCUGGAUCAGAUGAAGAGGGAGGAUCACAAGUUGUGUCCCUGUCCCCAGCGGUGUCUGUCCCCAAGAGUGGGACGUGGUGCUGGAGGCAGAGCAGGCGCGGCUGCGGCAGGAGGGGCAGCGGGAGGGGGAGCGGCUCAAAGCCCAUGCAGGAGCACGAGCGGGGCUGGCAGGAGGCGCAGGGACACCGGGGUGCCCAACAGGUACUGUGCCCUGGUGGAAAAGAAGGCCUGGGGCACGGCCAGUGCUGCCACCUCCUGCUGCCACCCGGAUGCUACCUUAUCACCUGCUGAUGCCUCCUCCUGAUGCCAGCUGCCAUUCCCCAGGGAUAUGGGGGACAUUUCCCCUUUUUUCCAUGAUUUGAACCAAUUUUUUUUCUCUUUUUUUACCCAUUUUUAUAGAUUUUAACCCAUUUUACCGCUAUUUGAACACUUUUUAAACCCUAUUUUUAACAAAGUUAAUCCCUAUUUUUAACCACUUUUCAUGUAUUUUAACCCAUUCUUAUCCAUAUUUUUCUCUUUUUAGUUCCUAUAUUUACCUAUUUUUAAUCCCUACUCUUACGAAUUUUAUGCCUAUUUUAACCC